GCUGAAGUAGGUCCCAAGGGUAUGGCUGUUCGCCAUUUAAAGUGGUACGCGAGCUGGGUUUAGAACGUCGUGAGACAGUUCGGUCCCUAUCUGCCGUGGGCGCUGGAGAACUGAGGGGGGCUGCUCCUAGUACGAGAGGACCGGAGUGGACGCAUCACUGGUGUUCGGGUUGUCAUGCCAAUGGCACUGCCCGGUAGCUAAAUGCGGAAGAGAUAAGUGCUGAAAGCAUCUAAGCACGAAACUUGCCCCGAGAUGAGUUCUCCCUGACUCCUUGAGAGUCCUGAAGGAACGUUGAAGACGACGACGUUGAUAGGCCGGGUGUGUAAGCGCAGCGAUGCGUUGAGCUAACCGGUACUAAUGAACCGUGAGGCUUAACCUUACAACGCCGAAG
rnacentral:rRNA from 1 species